CGUGCAGGAUGAAGGCCUUCGGGUUGUAAACUGCUUUUGUACGGAACGAAACGGUCGCCUDUAAUAAAAGRGGGCUAAUGACGGUACCGUDMSAAUAAGCACCGGCUAACKACGUGCCAGCAGVASSCCGUAAUACGUAGGUUGCGAGCGUUAAUCGGAAUUACUGGGCGUAAAGCGUGCGCAGGCGGUUAUAUAAGACAGAUGUGAAAUCCCCGGGCUCAACCUGGGACCUGCCCCGSNNNAGCUAGAGUACGGUAGAGGGGGAUGGAAUUCCGCGUGUAGCAGUGAAAUGCGUAGAUAUGCGGAGGAACACCGAUGGCGAAGGCAAUCCCCUGGACCUGUACUGACGCUCAUGCACGAAAGCGU
rnacentral:rRNA from 1 species